ACCUCCACUCUUGAUGAGAUUGAGGGACCCUUCGAGGUUGCCCCUGACGGUACUGUCAAGUUCGAAGAGAAGGAUGGUAUUGACUACGCCGCCGUAACAGUGCAGCUGCCUGGAGGGGAGCGUGUGCCGUUCUUGUUCACCGUGAAGCAGCUGGUGGCUUCCGGGAAGCCGGAAAGCUUCAGCGGGUCAUACCUCGUGCCAAGCUACCGGGGUUCGUCGUUCCUUGACCCUAAGGGCAGGGGAGGGUCUGCCGGUUAUGACAAUGCCGUGGCACUGCCCGCUGGAGGUAGAGGUGAUGAGGAGGAGCUCGUGAAAGAGAAUAUAAAGGAUGUGUCUUCUUCAACUGGGAAGAUUACUCUCAGUGUAACCAAAAGUAAGCCAGAGACUGGAGAAGUGAUUGGGGUGUUUGAGAGCAUUCAGCCCUCUGAUACUGAUUUGGGUUCCAAAGCUCCGAAGGAUGUGAAGAUCCAGGGGAUCUGGUAUGCUCAGCUUGAAUAGUAGAGAGUGGAUUCUUCGGUGGAUUUAGGGCUCUUGUUGCUUCAAAUGAAUGUGUUAUUACCAUCUUUUAUUCUCUGUUCGAUUGAAGGUAUAU
rnacentral:misc_RNA from 1 species